CAACAGGGAUUGCCCCAGUAACGGCGAGUGAAGCGGCAACAGCUCAAAUUUGAAAUCUGGCUCUCGGGCCCGAGUUGUAAUUUGUAGAGGAUGCUUUUGGUGAGGUGCCUUCCGAGUUCCCUGGAACGGGACGCCAUAGAGGGUGAGAGCCCCGUCUGGUUGGACACCGAUCCUCUGUAAAGCUCCUUCGACGAGUCGAGUAGUUUGGGAAUGCUGCUCUAAAUGGGAGGUAUAUGUCUUCUAAAGCUAAAUACCGGCCAGAGACCGAUAGCGCACAAGUAGAGUGAUCGAAAGAUGAAAAGAACUUUGAAAAGAGAGUUAAACAGUACGUGAAAUUGUUGAAAGGGAAGCGCUUGUGACCAGACUUGGGCUUGGUUGAUCAUCCGGGGUUCUCCCCGGUGCACUCUUCCGGCUCAGGCCAGCAUCAGUUCGCCCUGGGGGAUAAAGGCUUCGGGAAUGUGGCUCUCUCCGGGGAGUGUUAUAGCCCGCUGCGUAAUACCCUGUGGCGGACUGAGGUUCGCGCAUUCGCAAGGAU
rnacentral:rRNA from 1 species